AUUGAACGCUGGCGGCAUGCUUUACACAUGCAAGUCGAACGGUAACAGGCCGCAAGGUGCUGACGAGUGGCGAACGGGUGAGUAAUGCAUCGGAACGUGCCCAGUCGUGGGGGAUAACGCAGCGAAAGCUGCGCUAAUACCGCAUACGAUCUGUGGAUGAAAGCGGGGGACCGUAAGGCCUCGCGCGAUUGGAGCGGCCGAUGUCAGAUUAGGUAGUUGGUGGGGUAAAGGCUCACCAAGCCAACGAUCUGUAGCUGGUCUGAGAGGACGACCAGGCACACUGGGACUGAGACACGGCCCAGACUCCUACGGGAGGCAGCAGUGGGGAAUUUUGGACAAUGGGCGCAAGCCUGAUCCAGCAAUGCCGCGUGCAGGAAGAAGGCCUUCGGGUUGUAAACUGCUUUUGUACGGAACGAAACGGUCCUGGUUAAUACCUGGGGCUAAUGACGGUACCGUAAGAACAAGCACCGGCUAACUACGUGCCAGCAGCCGCAGUAAGAC
rnacentral:rRNA from 1 species